ensembl:lncRNA
CUUUGUUUACAUACUCAUCUCAUAUGUAUAUACUGUACUCGAUACCAUCUACUGUAUCUUGCCUAUGCUGCUCUGUACCAUCACUCAUUCAUAUAUCUUUAUGUACAUAUUCUUUAUCCCCUUACACUGUGUAUAAGACAGUAGUUUUUUUGGAAUUGUUAGUUAGAUUACUUGCUCGUUAUUACUGCAUUGUCGGAACUAGAAGCACAAGCAUUUCGCUACACUCGCAUUAACAUCUGCUAACCAUGUGUAUGUGACAAAUAAAAUUUGAUUUGACUAUACUAUGCUAUAGGUACUUGCUAGCUACUAUACUAUGCUAUAGGUACUUGCUAGCUACUAUACUAUGCUAUAGGUACUUGCUAGCUACUAUACUAUACUAUAGGUACUUGCUAGCUAC